rnacentral:lncRNA from 1 species
GUCCUGAGUACCUUCUCCUCACUUACUCCGUAGCUCCAGCUUCACCAGAUCUCGGAAUGGACCCCAACUGCUCCUGCUCCACCGGCGGCUCCUGCACUUGCACCAGCUCCUGCGCCUGCAAGAACUGCAAGUGCACCUCCUGCAAGAAGAGCUGCUGCUCCUGCUGCCCCGUGGGCUGCUCCAAAUGUGCCCAGGGCUGUGUCUGCAAAGGCGCCGCGGACAAGUGCACGUGCUGUGCCUGAUGUGACGAACAGCGCUGCCACCACGUGUAAAUAGUAUCGGACCAACCCAGCGUCUUCCUAUACAGUUCCACCCUGUUUACUAAACCCCCGUUUUCUACCGAGUACGUGAAUAAUAA